CCUUUGUACACACCGCCCGUCGCUACUACCGAUUGAAUGGCUUAGUGAGAUCUCCGGAUUGGCGUUGAGAAGCCGGCAACGGCAUCUCUUGGCCGAGAAGCUGAUCAAACUUGGUCAUUUAGAGG
rnacentral:rRNA from 1 species